rnacentral:rRNA from 1 species
AACCUCCCACCCGUGUUGCCCGAACCUAUGUUGCCUCGGCGGGCCCCGCGCCCGCCGACGGCCCCCCUGAACGCUGUCUGAAGUUGCAGUCUGAGACCUAUAACGAAAUUAGUUAAAACUUUCAACAACGGAUCUCUUGGUUCCGGCAUCGAUGAAGAACGCAGCGAAAUGCGAUAACUAAUGUGAAUUGCAGAAUUCAGUGAAUCAUCGAGUCUUUGAACGCACAUUGCGCCCUCUGGUAUUCCGGAGGGCAUGCCUGUCCGAGCGUCAUUGCUGCCCUCAAGCCCGGCUUGUGUGUUGGGCCCCGUCCCCCCCGCCGGGGGGACGGGCCCGAAAGGCAGCGGCGGCACCGCGUCCGGUCCUCGAGCGUAUGGGGCUUCGUCACCCGCUCUAGUAGGCCCGGCCGGCGCCAGCCGACCCCCAACCUUUAAUUAUCUCAGGUUGACCUCGGAUCAGGUAGGGAUACCCGCUGAACUUAAGCAUAUCAUA